rnacentral:misc_RNA from 1 species
GAUGAAGAACGUAGCGAAAUGCGAUAAGUAAUGUGAAUUGCAGAAUUCAGUGAAUCAUCGAAUCUUUGAACGCACAUUGCGCCCGCCAGUAUUCUGGCGGGCAUGCCUGUUCGAGCGUCAUUUCAACCAUCAAGCCCCCGGCUUGCGUUGGGGACCUGCGGCUGCCGCAGGCCCUGAAAAGCAGUGGCGGGCUCGCUGUCACACCGAGCGUAGUAGCAUACAUCUCGCUCUGGGCGUGCUGCGGGUUCCGGCCGAUAAACCACCUUCAUAACCCAAGGUUGACCUCGGAUCAGGUAGGAAGACCCGCUGAACUUAAGCAUAUCAAUAAGCGGAGGA